AACAGUGCUUGUAGAUCAGAAAAAUGGUACUCUAAUGGAAAAGUAUGGAUGGAGUUGGAUGACUGUUUCUGGACUUGAGUCUGUCUGAAGGUGGAAGCUGGGUUAUUUGCUGCUUUUAUAUGUGUGCUUGAGAUCUGAGAUAUGCUUUGCUAAUGUAGAACUUUGGUAGUGUGUGUUUCCCCUCUCCAAGUGGAUAAAGGUGGACUUGCUAUUGGACCAUUCACCUGCUUUAAAAUUAAUGCCUUGCAAAUACAAACAUUUCUAUUAAGUUUCUCUUAAAAUAUACAGUGCAAUAGAAUUUUGUUAUCAAUGCAACAGAAUCAAAAUGACAAAAUAAUGUCCUAAAUAGCUUCAAUUUGCAGACUUGCAGUGACAAGAAAGAACUAGGUUUAGUCAGUUUCAUGAUCAUGAAAAAGCUCACAUUAAAUAGUGGCUCUAUAUUUUACUUCUGUUUGUCAUUACAAAUAUCAACAACAGGGGUGGACUGAUUUUAGGUUUGCAGGAUCUGCUUUGUUUUUCAUCAGAACCCAGGUCUACCAAUUGGAGUCAAAUGUGAAAUAGUGGCUCAAGAUGUUAGACAUAACCCAGAAAUUUGUUUCCAGUACUAGAACUGCUUUCUAGAUUUUAGCAGCCUAAUUUAGUAGGGAAAAGGUGAUUUGUUUCUACUGCUCUUAAAUCAUUGUGAGUUGGGAAUCGCUGCUAAUGUAGUCUGAAUCACCCAGAGAUCCACCUGUAUAUCCUGAUUGACUUUCUCCCUACCCGUUCUUCAGUACUGUGAGUUCUACCAGGAUGCAUUCUGGAUCACCACCAAUGAUUAAAAAGGGGCAUUUAGGAAAUACAAACUACAUAUUUAUAUCCUUUGACAGAUAUUUCAUUAUUAAGCACUUUCAAUCAACCAUCAGAACUUCUCCAUUAAAGAAGUUUCUUCUAGGAGUGUGUGCUUGUCCUUCCCUUUUCAGCCUUUCUUCUGUCUAUAAACACUGAUGGAAACUCACCUAUCUUCUUACAAGGUAAGGCAGGCUGUAUUUCUCACUGUACAUCAUUUCUGUAUGUAAGGAAGAAUAUUAUUGUAAUACAAUGUGGUCAGUUUUCCACUCCUUUUUAUAAGGAUAAUCUUUGUGGAUUAAAGUGAAAAAUGUAUUGAAUACGAAUCUUGAUAAUAUUGGAAGGUUAUAUUUUACAUAAUGCUUAUCCUAGCUAUCUUUAUAUUUGCUGGGGAACUGGGGUGGAUUGAUUCAGGUCAAGAUUAGAAAGCAGAUAAAUCAUUGCAAUGAAAAGAGUUUUUAUGCUGAGGAUGGGGAAUGUGUGUCCCUCAGAUAUUGUGGGACUACACUUCCAGUCUUCUCUCACCAUUGGCUAUGUUGACUGAGGCUGAUGCAGUUCAGCCUCACCUGGAUGGCCAUAUGUUCCCCACUUGAACCAGGAACAUAAUAUAAUGCCAAAGAAGAAUGUAAUACAAAACCUUCCCCACAUGGUUUACAUGCAUUUUGAAUGCCAGAAUUUUUAUUUGCUUACAGGUGCAGUUCUGAAAGUGAGAAGAAAGAUUUUAAAAUGUUGCUCUUUAUCCAUAUUACAUACAACUUUAUUUAUGCUAUUCAUUUAUGACUUUUGUAUGCCAUCCCAUAACAACGUUUUCUUCCUAAUUCCCUGAAAGGUUUGUUCUACAAAAGACUCGUCUUCUUAAUGUACACUGUCAUUUUAAAGAAAAAUGAUGGUCAUUUAAAUAUUUCCUGUAUCGUAAUGACCUUUCUAGAACAUGCUUUGAGAAGUUUUAUCUGGCAUCAGUCAAUAAGGUAAGUGAAUGGAGUUGCUGUCUGUGAUCCUUCUAAAAGGCAAGAUAAUCAAAUUGACAUUUUCAUAAAGGAUGAGCUCUUCAUAUUUAUCACUGGCAUUGGAUCUACCUUCAUUUUCUGCGAAAGAUUCUUGAGUGAGAUAGACUGGAACAAAAAGGAAUAGGAAGGAUGAGUAAGAGCAUCAAACAAGCACAGACCAGAGUAGCUUUCUCUUGGGAGCUACAUUUCCCCUUCCCUUUUCAAAACAACAGACUGUUCUUCAGCAAAAACUCUUUAUUCUCCAGUGUACAUCCAGUAGCAAAGAAAGAGUCUCUGAGCAUGCACAGAGCCAAUUUUGAACCCAAACUGCAAACUACUUCCAAGAACCCUGCUUUUGAGAAACUGACAGUAUCUGCACUAGCUUUAUGCCUUGGGCUAACCAGAGAAACUUUAACAGCCUGGGAAAGGUUAGUAGACUGGAAUAUAACCUAUGAAGAUGAAACUUGGUUAUGAAGGUGUGUCUGUUUGUACAGUAUACCCUGCCAAACUCUUCUACAUUCUGCAACUAAAAGAUGGAAUUUUAUAAUGAAAUGAUAAUUCCUAAAUUCAGUCAAAACAGGAAUUCUUUCAAGAGCAAGCUCAUAGCAGCAGAAUUAAAGGCUUGAAAGAUUCUGUUGUCAUGACAGUCAAAAACUGAGUGUCGUGUAUGGAUUGCUGUAGGAGCAUUAAAUAAAUUAACUGCUUCUCUUAAUGACAAGUUUUAGACAUUUUGGUUCACCUUUCCAUGGUUGGAUGGACAUUUUAAAUUGCCUGUGCAUUUUCCAAUUUGUGUAGUGUGAUUUAAGAUGCUCAUAAAUUAUUUUUUCCAAUAUUUCAGAUCUAAAAUAUUCACAUCUGUCCUGUUGAGAGAAUGCACUGAUUUUGGGGCUCUAAAGUGCCUGCCUAUGGUGUUCACCGUGAAUGCAGUAAACUACAUUUAUCUUUUUUUGCGAAUAUGCUCAUUACUUCUUUUCCUUGUAAUUGGUAAUUUUCAGUAUGUUAAGAUACUUCCACAGUGAAAACUGUUUCAAUCUUAGGUUUUUCUCAUUUUGUGGAAGGUAUAUAAAAUUAAUGAAUAUCUAAAGCAAGAAAUGGGUUUAGAAAAUGAAGAUAACUUUCAAAUAUAUAAUAAUCUGAAGUCAAACCCUGUGAAACAAUUAGCUAAUAGUGUUCGUGGCUUCAGUGACAGGCUCUCAAGACCAUUCAGAGAAGUUAGAUUCUAGCUGUAGGUACCUGUCUGCAACCACAUUAUUGUUGAAAGGAUGCUCUUUCUUUGAUUGCUUUCAAAUCAUGCUGGUUUGGUACUAUAUAAUGCUAUUGACAGAGUGUUACUGCAGAAGAUACCCAUUUGCAUUCAUUGGCGGAUCAGAGGAAGCCACCAGACUAAUGGGAUGCAUUAUUAGACUGCAUCCCUGGCUAGGGGAAACCCAGUUCUGUCCUUGUGAUGAUGCUGGGAUGUGGCAUCUGGGAAUUUACUUUGUCUAUCUUUUCCUGGGCAUUUUCAAGCCCUGCUGCUGUACCACUUCAAAUAUUCAUGAUGAAUGGUAUUGGUGCCAGUGGGCAUUCUCUGUUGACACAGGCGUUAUAUGUAUUUGUAUGGUUUUCAAAGAUGUCAGGGCCAUAUGUCCAUAAAUUUUUGACUGUGACAUUGCAUUUUUCUCUUUGACUACAUUCAUAUUUUUGAUCACACUAUAUAUAUGUUGACGGCUGUUAACAUAUAUUUAUGAAGUCUUUUAAUGGCCAAUGAAGAGAGUAUAUAAUUGUUUUUAAAAUACCUUGAAAAAUGAUAUAUUACAAAGCAGGGGACCUCAAACUUUUUCAAUAGGGGACCAGUUGAAAGGUGGUAGCUACACGCGUGGGCUGUUGAGGGGGGGGGUGCCUGGGAGCACUGGCCAGUGAGGCAUCAUCGGAUGCACAUGAGGCUGCAACUCACUCGCUCGGAGAUCUCUCAAUGAGUCCAAAACCAUCUCUGAGCGAGCAAGCCACCGCCUCCCGCCUGCGCGGCGUGGGCCGGAUGAAAGGGCAUGGCGGGCCGGAUCCAUCCCAUGGGCCAUAGUUUGAGGACCCAUGCUACAAAGGAACGUAUAGCUAUGCUUGAAUGCCAUAGCAAAAGAACACAGACUAUGUUCAGAUGUAAUGCUAAGUCAUGGUUUAGAUUGCAUGAAUGAGACCAGCUUCCUCCUGGGCCUGUGUGCUCCCCAUCUCCUCUUCCGAUGCCUCUGAGAGUAAGGAAGCCUUUAUUUCUGCUUUUAGUUAGCCACAGUGGAUGGGUUUGCACUUAAGGGUAAACCACCCUGGAGAAUAUGCUACAGCCAGGCUUGCUGUGCUUCGUUCUCCCACUCCUUCCUCCUCAGGCCUCUUGCCAGUUGUGGCACCCUCCAGGGGACUCACACCAGAAUUCCUCUUUAUCCUUGCACCAAUCCUCUGUUUCAAUCAUUAUCUCUGCUUUUCUGGAUUUUUACUCUUUUGGAGCUUCAAACAAGCCCAAUUGAACAUAUUUUUUGGUCUUUUGCAAGUGUAAGUGGCUGUACAACUGUGCAAUGUGUGCUCUUUGUCCAGUCAAUUCCUUGCAUGGUUCAACUGUCAAAAGGAGCUUGAAGAAGAAACAGUGCAGGGUAGGAAGAUUAAAGCAGGGCAAGAGGCUUUGAAACUCCAUCAUGGUUGCUUCCCCUCAGUUUUCCAGGCCAACCAUGAUGGAGUUCUAUGUACUCGUGUAGUUUUGGAUUUGUGGUUCUAAAAGUCAGUCCACGUGCCACCUUAGGAAAUUAGUGAGAAUAUAUAUAAAGAAUGGUAUCUUAUAUAGCACCAUGAUCUGCUGUUCUGAGCAAAAAAUAUCCCCCACUCCAAAUCCUGUACAGUAUUUCUUUGGAUCAUUGCAUUAUUUCUCGACUACAUUUAAUCUCAAUAUGCCUGUUAUAUCACACACAUGUACACAUGCAUAAUUUCUAAUGCAAAAUAGGUAUAAUCCAAAUUUGGUCCUGUUUGUUAAGUAAAUGCAAGAAAAUAUCUGAUCCUGGUAUUUUUUGCAUAGUUUCAACAUUUUAGAAAUGCUGUGUCUGUUGCUCUGCUUUUGUGUUAGUCAUCCAAAUAUUACAUAUUUGAAAGAUGAAGAACAAUGUUGUAGAGAAAUUACACAAGAAAGCUUCUUAGGCUACAUAUAAACAUAUUACUAUAACUGAAUUUACUAUUUGAUGAUGAUCAUACACUGUGAACUGCCCUGAUUUAGUUCCAGGCCAUAACUGUAUCUUUUUAAAAAUUCUAUAAUUAGAACUUGUUGGCACAUUUGUGCAACCUGUUUACUUGCUCAAGCAUAAGCUGUGCUCUAAAAUUGAUAAAACAGCCUGCAGGGAGAACUUGCAAACAAAGAUGUUAAAAUCAAGGUCCAUAGCACCCUUUGUAGAUUAUAGUUUCAGGGUGCAGUCCUGUGGAUUUCAGACAGAAAAAAUCCUACAGUUUCUAGUAUCCCCUAGUUAGAUAUGCUAGACUUCUGGGUACUGUCUUCAAAUAACGUAUCACUGUUUUCCUGAACUAUUGAAUAACAAUUUAUUCCAGCUUUGUGAAAUAGAUGAAUUUCUGAUUUCUUAUUCAAACAGAUUCUGCUGGGUUGAAAGUAUACAUGGCAAUGAUGAGGCAAACUGGAGAGAAACCUAAUAAUCAUGUUCUUCCCAACCUCUUGAAUUGCAUGGAAUGAUAAUGAGCUUUCAAAGCUUCUCUCGGAGGAAGCACUCUGAGAUGUUAAGCACAGUUUCAGGGUCCAUACUGGGAGAGACACUCCUUCAGAUAACCUAUUCUGCAAUGUCUAUUGCCUUUUGCUCUUGGAUGGAAAGAAAGAAGUUCUUCUUUUUUCACUGAAGCAAUUAUGGAUCAGAAUGCAUAAACUUAAGGGGACCAUAGCCUUUGUCUUGGAGCAAAUCUCUGCCUUUCAUUUACCUCAGUGGGCUACAACCUGGUUGAAUUAUGCUAGGUUGCAGUCAGUUAUGAAUAAUCCAUAUGGAAAUACCCUUAGGUAAGAUUUAUUUCUGGCAGUUUUUGUAUCAUGCCCUUUAUUAGGUAGAAAUUGUAACAUACAAUAAAUUACAAAAAAGUAAUUAAAUUAAAAUGCAAGGAAGAUGGCUGAUAUUUUCUUGACAUGCUAAAGGAAAAGCACAUUCUUUUGCUCUUUUAUGAUUUCCUUGGUUUUGUUUAGGGACCAUUUUUAUGAUUGUUUUUUUUUUUCAAAUGUUUCCUUUUAAAAAGAUACAACACCUUGGUUGAUAUAUACAAACAUGAAACUGAAUUCUGUGCAUAUUUUGAAUUCUGAGUUUCAGCUUGGUGACAUUAAGUGUGGAGUGGUUUAAAUUACUAACACACGAAAGUGGGAUGACUGCAUGUUGGAUUUAGAAUUGUAUUAGGAAAUGAAAUAAGGCUGCACCUUGGGAAAGGCAUGUAUAAAUAAGAUUUGACAUUUCCUCCUCCUGCCUCCUCACAAAGCCUCAUGCCAUUUUGAUUUACUGAUUAUUAUCUUCAGGGUUUUGAUGAGACUUAAAACGGUCCUCUCUUGCUCUAGAAAAACCCACAAAGCUCACUGGUACAGAUUCAAACCAGCCUCUGGCGUUAGAAAGUCUCUCUCACUGAAAGGCAGGUUUUGGCAGUCUGUGAGAUCAUCAGCUAGAUAAAAGCUUUAAAGCCAAGUUAUGUCCUUUGCCCUUCUGGAAAUUAACUUUCUGGUGUCAGCCUGAAUAUGUAAACAUUAAUCAAUAAGCUUUUGGUUUCAGAAAUAGUCUGUUGUCCUUAUCCUGUCAUUUGAAGCUUAUUUUGGAUUGCAUUUUUAUGUCAUGUUAUGUAUUCUUUUUAUUAGUCUUAUUCAUGCGAUGCUUUUCUUCUGUUCCUGCCAUUCUCAACAAUAAAAAAUUCUUUUUGCUCAGGCCAGAUGCCCUCUUGAGAACUCUCCCUUUUUGUCUAAAUUUAUCAUGGACACAAACACAUUCAGUGCUAUCUGUAGCCUGAUUAUUCUAUGCUACUCAUUUUUAAAAUUUAAUUUAUAUGUCACAGUAUUCUCUUUAUUCACCUAAUCAGUGGCUAUAUAGUAAUUCUGUUAAAAAGCAAAGGACCAUUUUGAUUCUGCUCUUGAUGUCCUUAAGUAAAUUACUAUUAAUACUGGAAUAACCAGUGCUGCAAUUAUUUACUCUCAUGCAGUGGACAACUUGUAGGCAACUUGCAGCCUAUGGCUCCCAUGGGCCAGCAUAGCCAAUGGUGAGGGCAGAUGGGAAUUGUGGGCAGAAACAUCUGGAGGGCCAAAAGUUGACUGCUGCAUUGUAAUAAAAUAUUGUGGUGGUGAUUAUUCUAGUAUUAGCACUAGCAAUGCACUGAGUGCUUAAAGGUAAAAUCUUAAACAAAAGUAGCCAGAAAAAAAGUUUCAACUCCAGCAUGUCCCAAUCAGCAUCACUACAUUUGCAUAGGCUUGCAAUAACCCUAACCCUUAAUGUAAGCUAAUCAGUAAAUAAGUCGCACUGAUUUCAGUGUGCCUGGUCUAAGUAUGACUAUAUCUCAACUUAGGUUUUUACAACAAUCUGACGUAAUUAUUCAGCAAUGACUUAGGGCAUGGAUAGGGUUUCUUUCUAUAUAAGUUUUGGGAUUAAAUCUCUACAUUUAUUAUUGUAUUUUGUUGAAUAUACCUAUGUGGGAAUCCACUAAUAAGUUCAAUUUCUGUACAUGUGGAAAAGUAAAAAGUCUAUAUGGGUGCCUUAAACCAGCAGUAUGUCAGUUGAUCUAGGUAUAAUUUAAAUGGUUGCUGAAUUGAAUCUGGCAUUUUAUAUCCAAGAAUUUAAGACCUGUAUCAAUGUAUGCUAUGGACUGUGUUGUUUCAUAACUAGAUACUGUGCAUUGAAAUGGCAGAAUAGUGCGUAAAUGUCUUUUA